rnacentral:rRNA from 1 species
AACGAACGCUGGCGGCGUGCCUAACACAUGCAAGUCGAGCGAGAAAGUCUCCGCAAGGGGGCGAGUAAAGCGGCGCACGGGUGAGUAACACGUGGGUAAUCUGCCUAGGAGUCCGGAAUUACCUUCCGAAAGGCGGGCUAAUGCUGGAUAAUACCACGCGGACUUCGGUCCCUGAGGUAAAAAGGUGGCCUCAGUAUACAAGCUACCACCUCGUGAGGAGCCCGCGGCCCAUCAGCUAGUUGGCGGGGUAAUGGCCCACCAAGGCUACGACGGGUAGGUGGUCUGAGAGGACGAUCAGCAACACUGGAACUGAGACACGGUCCAGACUACUACGGGAGGCAGCAGUGGGGAAUUUUGCGCAAUGGGCGAAAGCCUGACGCAGCAACGCCGCGUGAGGGAUGAAGGUCUUCGGAUCGUAAAGCUCUUUCGGCCGGGACGAAAACGGGUUGGCCAAUAUCCAACUCCUUGACGGUACCGGAAGAAGAAGCACCGGCUAACUCUGUGCCAGCCGCCGCAGUAA